rnacentral:tRNA from 1 species
GGGGAUUUAGCUCAGUGGUAGAGCACUUGCUUAGCAAGCGCAAGACCGUGGGUUCAGUCCCCA